AGCAGCCGCGGUAAUUCCAGCUCCAAUAGCGUAUAUUAAAGUUGUUGCAGUUAAAAGCUCGUAGUUGAAUUUCGGGGUUUAUCCGUUGGUCGGGCUUUUUGGUCUGUACUGGCGUGAUGGAUUCCUACCUUCUGAAUAACCGGCAUGCCAUUAAUUUGGUGCGCCGGGGAAGCAGGACUGUUACCUUGAAAAAAUUAGAGUGCUUAAAGCAGGCUUAUGCCUGAAUACAUUAGCAUGGAAUAAUGAAAUAGGACGUAUGAUCCUAUUUUGUUGGUUUCUAGGAUUGACGUAAUGAUUAAUAAGGAUAGUUGGGGGCAUUAGUAUUCAAUUGUCAGAGGUGAAAAUUCUUGGAUUUAUUGAAGACUAACUACUGCGAAAGCAUUUUGCCAAGGAUGUUUUCAUUAAUCAAGAACGAAAGUUAGGGGAUCGAAGACGAUCAGAUACCGUCGUAGUCUUAACCAUAAACUAUGCCGACUAGGGAUCGGAUGAUGUUAAUUUUUUAAUGACUCAUUCGGCGCCU
rnacentral:rRNA from 1 species